UACGAAGGGGGCUAGCGUUGCUCGGAAUCACUGGGCGUAAAGCGCACGUAGGCGGCUUUUUAAGUCAGAGGUGAAAUCCUGGAGCUCAACUCCAGAACUGCCUUUGAUACUGGGAGAGCUUGAGUCCGGGGAGAGGUGAGUGGAACUGCGAGUGUAGAGGUGAAAUUCGUAGAUAUUCGCAAGAACACCAGUGGCGAAGGCGGCUCACUGGCCCGGUACUGACGCUGAGGUGCGAAAGCGUGGGGAGCAACA
rnacentral:rRNA from 1 species